CUUCCGUAGGGGAACCUGCGGAAGGAUCAUUAUCGAGUUUUGAAUGGGUUGUCUGCUGGCUCGCAAGGGCAUGUGCACGCCUGUCUCAUCCACUCUCAACUUCUGUGCACUUUUCAUAGGCCGGCUUGUGGGUGCGUUCGCGCACUUGUAGGUGUCGGGCUUAUGCUUUACUACAAACGAUUCAGUUUUAGAAUGUCAUACUUUGCUAUAACGCAAUUAUAUACAACUUUCAGCAACGGAUCUCUUGGCUCUCGCAUCGAUGAAGAACGCAGCGAAAUGCGAUAAGUAAUGUGAAUUGCAGAAUUCAGUGAAUCAUCGAAUCUUUGAACGCACCUUGCGCUCCUUGGUAUUCCGAGGAGCAUGCCUGUUUGAGUCUCAUGGAAUUCUCAACCUUCAGCUUUAUUGAUGAAGGCUUGGACUUGGAGGUCGUGCCGGCUCUCGUAGUCGGCUCCUCUGAAAUGCAUUAGUGCGAACGUUACCAGCCGCUUCAGCGUGAUAAUUAUCUGCGUUGCUGUGGAGGGUAUUCUAGUGUUCACGCUUCUAACCGUCUUCGGAGAAAUUUCUGAACUCUGAGAUCAAAUGCGACA
rnacentral:rRNA from 1 species